CAAAACCCGAUCCGUGGUAAUUGGACAGUAGUGCGAAAACCGAAAAUUAGUGUCGAAUUGACGACAUCGGACGUGCCGGUAACCAAGGACUAAAAGUGUAACUGACUUGCGCAGGAUUCAGCAUUAAGUAGACGCUUAGCCCAAUCCGUGGCGAAGCAAGAAACUAGUGACUAUCUCCAGCGAUCAUCAGGAACCAGGCUCUUGGAAACCAUCCCUCAACCCGUAGGUGAUUUGCGCCGCCCGACACGAAAACUGCAUCGGUGGGUUUCAACCCUUUAAGAGUGUCGAACCCUCGAAGAUGACACACAAACACCCGAUACUUUUUUGUCUUACAGUUAUGAUGUUUUUUAAUCCUAUUUACUCUGCUUACUUGGAAAUCCUUGAACUUAAUGAAAAUCCCGGUAUAGUUGCGUUCAAGACUAAUUCAGUCUUUAUAAAAGAAGGAUCUCACACACUAUUCCAUAGAUUUAAUUUAUUUUCCUUUACCGUCGUUCUCAAGCAGUAUGAAUCCAUUAUUUUGAACAUUGAAGAAAACCCAAAGAUAGCAGAACUAGUUAAAAUUCUUAAACAAAAGCAGAGUCAGGCUUAUUUUAUCCUUGAAAAUUUAACCGCUAGAAGUAGAAAAACAAAACGAUCUCUUAAUUUUCUUGGGUCUACCUUAAAAAUGAUUACAGGGAAUCUCGAUAAUGAAGAUUUGUUAAAAAUAGAAAACCAACUUGAAAUUCUUAAAAAUUCAAAUAACCUUUUAGUAACAGAGAAUAAUGAACAAAUUCAAAUUAAUAAAUUGUUUGAGGAAAGGAUUAACAAUAUUACUAAACAAGCUUAUAGACAGUCUAGGGAAAUAGAUAGCAUCAUUAAACAGACAAGACUGAGCUUAGACAGACCUGUCGAAUGGGAACAUCUCCUGCACCUACACAACAUCAUCUUCAACAUCGACAUGAUCAACCAGCAGCUGUCUACAAUUUUCGAGGCCAUUCAGUUGUCCAAGUUGGGUUUAAUUUCAAAGGCUUUCUUACAACCAUCAGAGCUAGAAUUUGCAACGAAUCUGUUGGAGUCACAAGGCGUUGUGAUUAACAGCUAUGACCAAGUUUAUGAGUUUUUGGAACCCAUAGCAUUCCACAAUAACUCAGACAUAA